AUAGAGUUUGAUCCUGGCUCAGGACGAACGCUGGCGGCGUGCUUAACACAUGCAAGUCGAACGGAAAGGCCCUUCGGGGUACUCGAGUGGCGAACGGGUGAGUAACACGUGGGUGAUCUGCCCUGCACUUUGGGAUAAGCCUGGGAAACUGGGUCUAAUACCGAAUAGGAUCACUGGCUUCAUGGUCGGUGGUGGAAAGCUUUUGCGGUGUGGGAUGGGCCCGCGGCCUAUCAGCUUGUUGGUGGGGUAAUGGCCUACCAAGGCGACGACGGGUAGCCGGCCUGAGAGGGUGACCGGCCACACUGGGACUGAGAUACGGCCCAGACUCCUACGGGAGGCAGCAGUGGGGAAUAUUGCACAAUGGGCGCAAGCCUGAUGCAGCGACGCCGCGUGAGGGAUGACGGCCUUCGGGUUGUAAACCUCUUUCACCAGGGACGAAGCGCAGUGACGGUACCUGGGAGGAGAAGCACCGGCCAACUACGUGCCAGCAGCCGCGGUAAUACAAAGGGUGCAAGCGUUAAUCGGAAUUUCUGGGCGUAAAGCGCGCGUAGUGGUUCAGCAAGUUGGAUGUGAAGCCCGGGCUCACCUGGGAAUUGCUUCAAACUACUGAGCUAAGUACGG
rnacentral:rRNA from 1 species